rnacentral:tRNA from 1 species
GUCUCCAUAGUCUAGUGGUUAGGACGGCGGUCUCAUAGGCUCUAUGACAACCCCUACCAAAAGGGAUUGAAAUCCGCAAGCACGAGUUCGAUUCUCGUUGGAGGCA